GAUCCCCGGACGCGCGGCCCCCCCACCCGCGGCCCCGCGCGCCUCUCCCUGACACCACCCUCCGCGGCCCCCUCCGGACCCUCUGGCCCCCAAGACGCCCCUCCGGCCCUCCCCUAGGAGAGGGGGCCCUCGCCAAGUCUCCGCCUUCCUGCCCUCCUCCUGUCAAUGCCGCUGUCCAGAGCUCGCAGCCCUGGGAACGCCACUCCAGCGGGGCCUCCUUCUCCUGGGACCCCCUGGGCCCCACCCCCAGGACCUCCCACCUCUGCAAACCCCGAGUUUGCUUUUCCCAUCCACCGGGCAGCUCUUCUCCACGCCCACCUGGCUGGACCCGGGAAACCGAAGAAGUUAGUGGGGGUUCACCAGUAGGAAUCGGUAUGAGGGAGAGCCUGGAGGAGGAAAUGGGGAAAGGGGAAAUGUUCAGAAGGAAUGGAGGACAGCGAGCAGGGUAUUCGGGGAUGGAGGACCAAGUGUGUUUCUUUGGGAAGUGCUGGCAUGUAGGGGUGUGUGCUGUGUACCUGUGUGAAGGAUGUACGCAGAAUGUAGAGUAUGGGGUACGUGAGGGUGGUGUGUACGUAUGUGUCCUGUGGCGGGGAGCGGUGUGCAUUCCGAGAUGUGCGCAGGGUGAACACAGUGUACGUGCAAUGUCCAGGCGUGUGGUGUGCAAGUGUGUGUCUGUGUGUUAUGUGGUGAAUGUGCAGGAAAGGUGUCGCCUUGAGGUGUGGGUAGAGUAUUGUAGGUGCUGGGGGGUUAUGAAUAGGGUAUGCGGGAGAACUGGCUAGAGAUUUCUCUCAGAGGACCAGCCAUGGAGAAGGCCAGGAUGAAGUCUUGGGGAGAACCUCGGCAGGAGGAGCAGAAUUUGAAACAGCAGCAUACCGGUCCUGCGCCUGGUGAAGGAUGACUCGCCAGAAAGCAAAGGCACAGCCCUACCUCCGCGAGCUUGGCGCGUGGCCCAGGAGGCUCCGCGAGCCCUCGUACGUAAGGAUCGCGGCGCCCACGCUUGAGAGCAGAGCUCAGUGCAAACUUCCAACGGUUCUUCCAGUUUCCAGGGAAACGAGAUCUGGAGCUGCUGUGCGUUGCAGAGCUGCCUCUCUGCAACCCACAUGGGACCCCUGUGGCUGGCUGGUCUUGGGGAAGAAGGAGUUGAAGCCACCACAUCCAUGAAGGUUUUGUCUGGAGCCUGUCUGAUCCGAUGCAUUCAGUACUGAAAGCUUUCAGGAACAUUCUUUUACUCACUUCUCAGGACAACCGGUGAGGUAGGUCCCCUGUUAUCCCCAGUAGGACUUUUCAUUAGUAAAUUAGUGACUGGAAUUGGGACAGAAACCCACACUCUGUGACCAGGCUAUGCUCCCCCCACCCCCGAUGCCUUCCUGAUUCCAACCCCUGCAGAGGAUCCUCAAGGUGCAGGAUUUCCCUGGAGUACAAAUAGGUCUUUUCUAUCAGGUCGGAUUGGAAAUGGCCAGGUCAGGAGAAUUCCAACUAUUUCUGGGGCUAGCUGAGUAUGUACGUGUCUGUGGUGCCAAAAAAAAAAAUAAAUAAAAAUCUAGUUCUUUGGAGAGUAUGGUGGCAGGAGCCUGCAAACACGGAGAGGGGAACUCACUGAGAAGGGUCUUUAAGCCGAAGCAAUUCAAUUUUAUUCUGAGGGCAGGAACACAGAGAUUUCAGGCGAGCAUCCUGGCGUGUGCUGAGAAGGAGCUCUGCUGCCUGGGAUCUAGGGGAGCGAAAGGAGCUUUCUCUCUGCUUGCAGUGUAAAAUCCCAGGUACAGGGAAUCACCCUGCAGCUUCUGCUCAGCAGUCUUUCUAAAAGGACUGGGAGUUAGCGGAGAGUGGGAGGGGCAAUCUGUGGUCCCGCGACAGCGAAACCGGGGAUGACAUUGAAGCUAACCCAGGUAGGAUUUUAGAGCAGAUUGAAUUGCUUUAUUUCAGGAUCCUUUCACCGAGGAAGAGCUCAUCAUGCUCUGUUGUGAGCCAUCCUCAACUUCCACUUGCAGAGUCUGCUUAACCUUCCAUGCAUGCCAAGGAGGGGACCCAGGGUAGCUGCGGUCUAGUCACGUGACCUGGAGGGUCAGAGGCAGGAAGGAGAGCAACUCCAGAAAGAACCACACCGGUGAGGGAUAACUUUGCCACUUUUCCAGGAAAAUGACAUCAUUAACUACUGUUCAAGUUCCUACAGAGGUCUGGCGGCCUUCUGGGGGCAGGUAUCACUCUCCCACACCAUCACCUUUUAAAUAUUUUAUUAACAUAUGUCUUAGUCUACCUUCUUUUACUGUAACUGAAUAACAUUUACAAAGAACAAUGGUUUAUUUAGCUAACACUUCAGAAGUGCUUGCAACUGUGAAGCCCUUGUGCUGUGUAUAGUAUGGUGUAAGGAAUGACUUGGCAAGACAGAGCAGCCAAAGAGCUUCUUCCACAACAAAACCGCUCAACCAAUUAUAUCCCAAAGGUUCCACCAAACACCAUGAGCAUAUGACUUUGGGGGUCACGUUUCUCGCCUGUGGAUUCUGGGGACAAGCGUUCAUGCAUCACAAGUAGCCAAAUAGUUGAAAUGUUCAUUGUUAAGCCUCACCCCCUCCCGACCCCCCUUUUUUUCCUAGGAACAGCCACGUUAAUCUGUUACUUCACACAGGCAGUGCAGGCAUCCUCUGUGCAAAACACCCAACGGUGAAUCUUCCAAAGAAUUCAUGAAACCGUAGCCGAGUUCUCAGAGACACAACAGUGUUUCUUACUAUGUUCAAAGUCUUAUAGAAUGUAACACAGAAAAUAUUAAAUAUACAAUGUGCUAUCUUCAUGGCAUAGAAACAAGCAUUUAUCUAACUUACGAAAGACAGAAGUGCCCGAGACACGGCCCAGGACCUGUCAGCCAACCAGAGCUUCUUCCUGCACUUGCUUAGGCAUUUGUAGAAGGAAUCUAUCCCAGCCGCUACAGCUGGUCUGGUUUGUUUUCUUUUGUUUGUUCAUUUGUUUUUAUUUUACAGAGAGUCAGAGAGCAUGAUUCUCCCUACCUGGCUUCUUUUGUUCCAUAAAUAAUGUUUGUGGAGCGUGUCCACGAUGCUGCGCACAGCCCUGGCUCACUCAUGGCUGGUAAUGAAACCCUGCAGCUGACCAGUUUCACUGCAGUAAGCAACACAUUGCUUCUUGUUUGGGAAUGGUGUGUCGGGAAUCAUUGAGACACGCAGCUGAGUAACCCUGUCUGAUUAAUACUGUCUUUACUUCUAUUUCCCCCUCUUUGCAUCGAGGUGCAAUUUAUGUACAAUAAGAAUCAUUGAUUUUAACUGUAUGAUUCCACGAGUUUGGACAGCUGCAUACAUUAUACGGACGACCCACUCAUGACUCAAUGCUGGUCCAACUCCUGCAAAUGCUAAGCUCAGCUUUUCCCGACUCCCACCUCGUGCAGUAUACAGGAUUUCCUGUGCAUGGGCAACCUUUUCUGUCUGGCUUCAGUGCCUUUCAGAUUCGUCCAAACUCUCACAUGAAUCGAUUGGUUGUGCUUAUUGCUGAAUAGAAUUCUAGUAAAAAGUGUUUAUCCAUUCACGGCAUGGUGGGCAUUCUGGCUGUCUCUGACGGGGUGACUGACCUGUAUUCAACCGUGGUACCAUGCAGGUUUAAGUCGAUAUGAGCGUGCUUCCAACUCCUUAGGUGUGUGGUAGGAGUGUGAUUGCUGGGCUGCAUCACCACACAUUUACAGUUAUCCUUAAAGAAAACAGAAGAUCAUUAACUAGAAUCAUUUUCCGCCCCCAUCCCCCCGUGCCGUAUGUGUAUACUCCUGGGUUGUGUUUUUAGCAACACAAGGUGUGUCAGCUUCCCUAGCAUGUUGGCCAGCCUGGCGUCCAUAGAUGGAUUCUCAUGGUGGCUUUAAUUUGCAUUGCCUGGUUUUGAAUGCUAUCAACACUUUCACUUAUCUUCAGUAAUGCGCGGGCGCGCGCGCGCGCGCGCACACACACACACACACACACACACACACACACACACACACUUGGUUAGCUUUUUCGAAAAUUACGUGGUCUCUAAGUCUCUAUCAUUUUAUCAACAGUGAAUAGAAGCGUGACUGGAAAUGUGGCGUACGUUGGCCCUGUGGAUUCUCCUGUAAUAGCCCAAGCACAUAUUAUACCUCUUUCAGCUGAUCCCUCGAAAACUCAUCACUACUCAACCUGGUCUCCUCUGGAGUCUAAAUGAAGCACUUAAUGGGAAUCCACCUAAGCCUCCUCUGGCUUCUGUUUAUGACAGUAAAGAGUCCAGGUAAGUCAUGUCAGGGGUAGACAGAGCUGCCAGCUGCCCAUGUCUUAGCGAGAUCAGUGAGCUAUAUCUCCCAAGAGAGAAUUGUCAUUCUGCCUCUCUGCCAUGAGGACACUGCUGGACCACCUCUGCAGGAGCUUGCACUGAUGCUGUGCUAGAAAGAACAAAGACCCUUCUCUGCUUUGGUUUCCUUUAGAAAUGGUUCUGGCUCUGUCUCCCACAUACUCCAGCCUCCCACCACUCCAACUGGGGUGAACUUUCCUUCUACCUGUGGAACACAUCAAAUGGAGUUCUUGUGUUUCCUGUGUUCAUUUUCUCGUCUGAAAUCAUGCUGUUGCUGCUGUCUACCACACUAUGUCCUUGUAUUCCUAGACCUCCAAAACCAGGGCUGGACAGUCCAGGUGGAGCCUUUCUUCCUUAGCAGACGUAAGUAGACACAACCAUCCUGUAGGGCGAACAAGAGCUUGGUGGCUGGACAACCACUUCAGAUUUUCAAAUACACCCUCACAGAGAUGCUCAGGGAUGCUCACUGAAGUUUCAUCUGAGGCAGGGAGUCACAAGAAAGCAGAGAAGGAUGACCCCUGCCAAAACCAUGUUAGAGCAAAGGUGGCAGGGUCUCCCUUCCCUUGAAAUAACUCAAAUGCUGGACAGAGGACAGAAAGCAUGGUUUUCAAAUGCUAAUCAUGAAACAAGGCAAGACUGUGACAGAGAAUCAAAGAAAGCCUCCAGUGCCUCGUGUAACAGCUUAAGAGUUGCCAGCAAUGGUGCCAGCCGAGGAGCCCAGGCAGACUCAAAGAACUUCCCUGGGUUUAAGAGACAUGCUUGUGCUCAAGGGACCAAACUAAAUGUAUACAGGUUUGAUUUUUGUCAAUUAUGCUUCAAUAUAACUAUAAAAACUGGGGUAAAAGCACACUGUAAAAUACUGUCAAUCAGAAGUAACAAAGCUGUAUCUAAUACAUAACUCUAAGUGAGUAAAGAAUCAAUAUUGUCCAACCA
rnacentral:sRNA from 1 species